GUGCUCGCUUCGGCAGCACAUAUACUAAAAUCGGAGCAAUACAGAGAAGAUCAGCAUGGCCUCUGCGCAAGGAUGACAUGCAAAUUCAUGAAGCUUCCACAUUUAGA
ensembl:snRNA U6 U6 spliceosomal RNA